CCUGAGCUGCUAAAGGAGUGGUGGAGCUGCUAUUUUGUAUGCAGACAUUUCCUGGUAGGAAAAGCUGUUGCAGCAAUAGAAUGAAAUGCUGCCAAAUCUUACUGGGACGUGCACAGUGACAGAAGUCUGGUAGAAGAAGCAGAGGAUCUACUGAAAGGAGUUAAUGAUUUACCAUCAGUUAAUAUCUUUACUGGCAAUUUCAGCAGAGAAUUUGUAAACUCUCUCAUCCCCAUCAUUGUGAGUGGGGCACCGUGUGUGGGCAAAUGAGGAGGUCUACUUGAAGGGCCUGGGCAGUAGAAAUCUUCUUGGAAGGGCUGAUUUGAAAGGUCUGCAUUGUUGAAGAAAGAUAUAUUCAAGUUUGUCAGAGGUAUAAAGAGACUGAUUAAAGCACUUUUCUUCUCUGAGUUUCUAAGGUAUCAGUUUUAUGUGAUUUCAUCAUGAAAAGACUUCUC
rnacentral:lncRNA from 1 species